ensembl:lncRNA
CUUGGUUUUUACAAUCUCUAUUGUCAUAUGUUUCUAAAUAAAAAAUAAGAUUUUUUCAAAUUAAUUCCUUUUUCCUGGAGAUGUGCUCAUGAUCUGUUGCCUAGUCAGCUCCUGUGCUCCUGCUUGACUCUUGAGGAAAUUAUGUUCUUCCUUGAUCCAUUACAAGCACAGUUUUCUGCUCUUUUGGUCAUUUACAGAUGGAUCUCCUGCAAUUUCUAUAUCAGACUAUCUGCAAAGUACUAUAAAAGCAUCCCGUGUCAAAUACAGAGCAAGUGAAGAAAAUCUUGUUGAUACAAACUGCAAUUCUUGUGCUCAGUCCUUAAAACAGUCAGAGCUGGCAAAAACUAGACUUUAUCAAACCUUUCCAGAAAGAGUCCCUAUGCACAGUUACAUUUUGAGACCUACCAGCUAUUCGAAGAGAGUGAGGGGGAAGAAAUCAGCAUUUCAGAGACCCAUUCAGCUCUCAGAAGAAAGACAUCUGAGCCUGCUAAUGUGCAAGUCAAGAAACUUCUGCUUUGUAUCCUCCUUUGUUACAAGUGAUACUGAAACACUUUUGAUUUCUUCCUAUCAUUUUUAUGUCACCAGAUUUCUCUGAAGAACAAAAAUAUGAAAGUCCAGUCUUUCAACAUCACUGCUUAUUCUUACAUUUUCUUUACAUUUAAGUGAAUAGUUUUUUUUUUUUUUUUUGUCAUAUUUUUAGAUCCUCUUCCUCAUAGGUGCUAUCAUUUUCAUUUUCUCUUCUUGCAAGUACUCCAUCAUCAGCAUACUGAUACGCAUUAGUCAUUAGCUUUUUCAGCACAGGCAGUCUCCUUACUGCAGGAACCUGUGGUAACGUUUUGAGCACCUAGCAACACUUUCUUAGGGAAAUCUCACCAGAACUAUGAAAAAAUAAAGUGAUUACUCCAAACGAUGAAUCAGCCACCUGAUCUGAUGCCAAUGAAGUUGAAGUGUUUAACAGCAUCUUUGCAUCAGCCAAAUGCCAGCUCGAGUAGGUUGCUUGUAUAGCAACACUAGUGACAGGGAUUAUGCAUCUAGUAGAACAGGGAAAGAAUUAGUAAGAGAAUACUUAAGUUAAAAAACUUUCACCUCAUCUUCAUCCUACAGUGCUUGCAGAUUUGGCUAAUGUAAGCUUGGAAUCUCCAAGGAUUAUC